AUUGAACGCUGGCGGCAUGCCUUACACAUGCAAGUCGAACGGCAGCACGGGAGCAAUCCUGGUGGCGAGUGGCGAACGGGUGAGUAAUAUAUCGGAACGUGCCCGGUCGUGGGGGAUAACGUAGCGAAAGCUACGCUAAUACCGCAUACGAUCUACGGAUGAAANCGGGGGAUCGCAAGACCUCGCGCGAUUGGAGCGGCCGAUAUCAGAUUAGGUAGUUGGUGAGGUAAAGGCUCACCAAGCCGACGAUCUGUAGCUGGUCUGAGAGGACGACCAGCCACACUGGGACUGAGACACGGCCCAGACUCCUACGGGAGGCAGCAGUGGGGAAUUUUGGACAAUGGGCGCAAGCCUGAUCCAGCAAUGCCGCGUGCAGGAUGAAGGCCUUCGGGUCGUAAACUGCUUUUGUACGGAACGAAACGGUGAGCUCUAAUACAGUUUGCUAAUGACGGUACCAUAAGAAUAAGCACCGGCUAACUACGUG
rnacentral:rRNA from 1 species